rnacentral:piRNA from 1 species
CAGAUGUCCAUAUGGAGUAGCUUAGUC